CGGUGUCACCCAUUGUCCCGGUCUGUCCCAGUAUCACCCAUCAUCCCAGUGUCACCCAUUCUCCUGGUGUCACCCGUUGUCCCAGUGUCACCCAUUGUCCCAGCGUCACCAGUUGUCCCGGUGUCACCCAUUGUCCCGGUGUCACCACUCCCACUCCACGCCUCGCUCCUCACCUCCCACCGCCUCGCUGGCAAAGACACCCAGGAUGGCAGCGCUCUGGUGGCCCAGCUCCCUCCAGGUCUGUGCCGAGGCCUCGGGGACCACCAGGAUGUCACCGGGGGGGCAG